rnacentral:rRNA from 1 species
GUGCCUACGGGGGGCAGCAGUAAGGGAUAUUGGUCAAUGGGGGAAAUCCUGAACCAGCAACGCCGCGUGAGGGAAGACGGUUUUCGGAUUGUAAACCUCUGUCCUCUGUGAAGAUGAUGACGGUAGCAGAGGAGGAAGCUCCGGCUAACUACGUGCCAGCAGCCGCGGUAAUACGUAGGGAGCGAGCGUUGUCCGGAUUUACUGGGUGUAAAGGGUGCGCAGGCGGCUCUGCAAGUCAGGCGUGAAAGCUAGGGGCUCAACCCCUAAACUGCGCUUGAAACUGUGGAGCUUGAGUGAAGUAGAGG